rnacentral:rRNA from 1 species
AUGGCAAAAGGUGCAAAAGUACUCAAAUACCCCUCCUCUGAAUCAAGUGAGGAUGAAUCUGAUGAAAAUCUCAAGCCUAGCUACUCUAAACUUGAUAAGAUUGUUGUGAAACAACAAAAGGCUUUUGAAAAAGUUCAAAGUAUGAUAGAUAAAAGCGAUGACCUGUUGGGUGAAGAAAUGGAUCAUACUCAAACCUUGACUGGAAAUCUUCAGAGACUUGAGACUAAGUUUGAUAAUCUUCAGAGUCAUCAUAACACUCUCUUGUCUGAUCAUGAGAAGCUUUCUUAUGAAUUUCUUCAAAGAAAGCAAGACUUGAGCAGCUAA